GAUGAAGAACGUAGCGAAACGCGAUAAGUAAUGUGAAUUGCAGAAUCCAGUGAAUCAUCGAAUCUUUGAACGCACAUUGCGCCCGCCAGCAUUCUGGCGGGCAUGCCUGUUCGAGCGUCAUUUCAACCCUCGACCUCCCCUUGGGGAGGUCGGCGUUGGGGACCGGCAGCACACCGCCGGCCCUGAAAUGGAGUGGCGGCCCGUCCGCGGCGACCUCUGCGCAGUAAUACAGCUCGCACCGGGACCCCGACGUGGCCACGCCGUAAAACACCCAACUUCUGAACGUUGACCUCGAAUCAGGUAGGACUACCCGCUGAACUUAAGCAUAUCAAUAAGCGGAGGA
rnacentral:misc_RNA from 1 species